rnacentral:rRNA from 1 species
GGGUUGUGAGGUUAAGCGACUAAGCGUACACGGUGGAUGCCCUGGCAGUCAGAGGCGAUGAAGGACGUGCUAAUCUGCGAAAAGCGUCGGUAAGGUGAUAUGAACCGUUACAGCCGGCGAUGUCCGAAUGGGGAAACCCAGUGCAAUUCGUUGCACUAUCGUUAACUGAAUACAUAGGUUAACGAGGCGAACCGGGGGAACUGAAACAUCUAAGUACCCCGAGGAAAGAAAUCAACCGAGAUUCCCCCAGUAGCGAGCGAACGGGGAGCAGCCCAGAGUCUGAAUCAGCUGUGUGUUAGUGGAACGGUCUGGAAAGUCCGACGGUACAGGGUGAUAGUCCCGUACACCAAAAUGCACAGGCUGUGAACUCGAAGAGUAGGGCGGGACACGUGGUAUCCUGUCUGAAUAUGGGGGGACCAUCCUCCAAGGCUAAAUACUCCUGACUGACCGAUAGUGAACCAGUACCGUGAGGGAAAGGCGAAAAGAACCCCGGCGAGGGGAGUGAAAAAGAACCUGAAACCGUGUACGUACAAGCAGUGGGAGCACCUUCGGGUGUGACUGCGUACCUUUUGUAUAAUGGGUCAGCGACUUAUAUUCUGUAGCAAGGUUAACCGUAUAGGGGAGCCGCAGGGAAACCGAGUCUUAACUGGGCGUUAAGUUGCAGGGUAUAGACCCGAAACCCGGUGAUCUAGCCAUGGGCAGGUUGAAGGUUGGGUAACACUAACUGGAGGACCGAACCGACUAAUGUUGAAAAAUUAGCGGAUGACUUGUGGCUGGGGGUGAAAGGCCAAUCAAACCGGGAGAUAGCUGGUUCUCCCCGAAAGCUAUUUAGGUAGCGCCUCGUGAAUUCAUCUUCGGGGGUAGAGCACUGUUUCGGCUAGGGGGUCAUCCCGACUUACCAACCCGAUGCAAACUACGAAUACCGAAGAAUGUUAUCACGGGAGACACACGGCGGGUGCUAACGUCCGUCGUGAAGAGGGAAACAACCCAGACCGCCAGCUAAGGUCCCAAAGUCAUGGUUAAGUGGGAAACGAUGUGGGAAGGCACAGACAGCCAGGAUGUUGGCUUAGAAGCAGCCAUCAUUUAAAGAAAGCGUAAUAGCUCACUGGUCGAGUCGGCCUGCGCGGAAGAUGUAACGGGGCUAAACCAUGCACCGAAGCUGCGGCAGCGACACUAUGUGUUGUUGGGUAGGGGAGCGUUCUGUAAGCCUGCGAAGGUGACCUGUGAGGGUUGCUGGAGGUAUCAGAAGUGCGAAUGCUGACAUAAGUAACGAUAAAGCGGGUGAAAAGCCCGCUCGCCGGAAGACCAAGGGUUCCUGUCCAACGUUAAUCGGGGCAGGGUGAGUCGACCCCUAAGGCGAGGCCGAAAGGCGUAGUCGAUGGGAAACAGGUUAAUAUUCCUGUACUUGGUGUUACUGCGAAGGGGGGACGGAGAAGGCUAUGUUAGCCGGGCGACGGUUGUCCCGGUUUAAGCAUGUAGGCUGGUUAUCCAGGCAAAUCCGGAUAAUCAAGGCUGAGGUGUGAUGACGAGGCACUACGGUGCUGAAGUAACAAAUGCCCUGCUUCCAGGAAAAGCCUCUAAGCAUCAGGUAACAUCAAAUCGUACCCCAAACCGACACAGGUGGUCAGGUAGAGAAUACCAAGGCGCUUGAGAGAACUCGGGUGAAGGAACUAGGCAAAAUGGUGCCGUAACUUCGGGAGAAGGCACGCUGGUGUGUAGGUGAAGUCCCUGCGGAUGGAGCUGAGACCAGUCGAAGAUACCAGCUGGCUGCAACUGUUUAUUAAAAACACAGCACUGUGCAAACACGAAAGUGGACGUAUACGGUGUGACGCCUGCCCGGUGCCGGAAGGUUAAUUGAUGGGGUUAUCCGUAAGGAGAAGCUCUUGAUCGAAGCCCCGGUAAACGGCGGCCGUAACUAUAACGGUCCUAAGGUAGCGAAAUUCCUUGUCGGGUAAGUUCCGACCUGCACGAAUGGCGUAAUGAUGGCCAGGCUGUCUCCACCCGAGACUCAGUGAAAUUGAACUCGCUGUGAAGAUGCAGUGUACCCGCGGCAAGACGGAAAGACCCCGUGAACCUUUACUAUAGCUUGACACUGAACAUUGAGCCUUGAUGUGUAGGAUAGGUGGGAGGCUUUGAAGCGUGGACGCCAGUCUGCGUGGAGCCAACCUUGAAAUACCACCCUUUAAUGUUUGAUGUUCUAACGUUGGCCCCUUACCGGGGUUGCGGACAGUGUCUGGUGGGUAGUUUGACUGGGGCGGUCUCCUCCCAAAGCGUAACGGAGGAGCACGAAGGUUAGCUAAUCCUGGUCGGACAUCAGGAGGUUAGUGCAAUGGCAUAAGCUAGCUUGACUGCGAGCGUGACGGCGCGAGCAGGUGCGAAAGCAGGUCAUAGUGAUCCGGUGGUUCUGAAUGGAAGGGCCAUCGCUCAACGGAUAAAAGGUACUCCGGGGAUAACAGGCUGAUACCGCCCAAGAGUUCAUAUCGACGGCGGUGUUUGGCACCUCGAUGUCGGCUCAUCACAUCCUGGGGCUGAAGUAGGUCCCAAGGGUAUGGCUGUUCGCCAUUUAAAGUGGUACGCGAGCUGGGUUUAGAACGUCGUGAGACAGUUCGGUCCCUAUCUGCCGUGGGCGCUGGAGAAUUGAGGGGGGCUGCUCCUAGUACGAGAGGACCGGAGUGGACGCAUCACUGGUGUUCGGGUUGUCAUGCCAAUGGCACUGCCCGGUAGCUAAAUGCGGAAGAGAUAAGUGCUGAAAGCAUCUAAGCACGAAACUUGCCCCGAGAUGAGUUCUCCCUGAGACUUUAAGUCUCCUGAAGGAACGUUAAAGACGAUGACGUUGAUAGGCCGGGUGUGUAAGCGCAGCGAUGCGUUGAGCUAACCGGUACUAAUGAACCGUGAGGCUUAACCUUACAACGCCGAAG